rnacentral:rRNA from 1 species
CCUACGGGGAGCUGCAGUGGGGAAUAUUGGACAAUGGGGGCAACCCUGAUCCAGCCAUGCCGCGUGUGUGAAGAAGGCCCUCGGGUUGUAAAGCACUUUCAGUGAGGAAGAACGCCUGGUGGUUAAUACCCAUCAGGAAAGACAUCACUCACAGAAGAAGCACCGGCUAACUCCGUGCCAGCAGCCGCGGUAAUACGGAGGGUGCGAGCGUUAAUCGGAAUUACUGGGCGUAAAGCGCGCGUAGGUGGCUUGAUAAGCCGGUUGUGAAAGCCCCGGGCUCAACCUGGGAACGGCAUCCGGAACUGUCAAGCUAGAGUGCAGGAGAGGAAGGUAGAAUUCCCGGUGUAGCGGUGAAAUGCGUAGAGAUCGGGAGGAAUACCAGUGGCGAAGGCGGCCUUCUGGACUGACACUGACACUGAGGUGCGAAAGCGUGGGUAGCAAACAGGAUUAGAUACCCCUGUAGUC